rnacentral:rRNA from 1 species
ACAGAGGGGGCAAGCGUUGUUCGGAUUUACUGGGCGUAAAGAGCGCGCAGGCGGUCGUUCAAGUCGAGUGUGAAAGCCCCCGGCUCAACUGGGGAGGGUCACUCGAUACUGAUCGACUCGAAGGCAGGAGAGGGAAGUGGAAUUCCCGGUGUAGUGGUGAAAUGCGUAGAUAUCGGGAGGAACACCGGUGGCGAAGGCGGCAUCCUGGACCAACUCUGACACUGAGGAGCGAAAGCCAGGGGAGCAAACGGGA